AAUUGUGUUCUUUUUCUCGAAUGUUGAAGCGAACGAACAAAAGUUUACCUCUUUUUACUCGUGUUUAGAGAGAGCGAGCGAAAGAGAGAGGAUUUUCGAAUUUUGAAAAGACGGGAAGAAGAAAGAAAGAGGCGUGAAUAAUGAUGAUUAAUGUGACGGUUUCGCGGGAAAUUUUGCCGGCUAAUAACAAUGACUCGAAUCGUUGGACCGUGGAGAACGAUGCGACUUCGGACGCUAUAGUGCAACUAAUAUUUUAUAUCUUUUACGGGAACAUUUUUGUACUGGGUGUAUUCGGGAACGCGCUGGUGUGUUUCGUGGUGGCACGAAAUCGUCAAAUGCAGACCGUAACGAACCUGUUUAUUACGAAUCUGGCACUGAGCGACGUGUUGCUUUGCGUAUUGGCGGUUCCGUUUACGCCUCUUUAUACGUUUAUGGGUGGUUGGAUAUUCGGUAAAACCCUCUGUCACUUGGUGCCGUACGCUCAAGGUGUCAGCGUUUAUAUCAGUACAUUGACUUUGACGAGCAUCGCGAUCGACAGAUUCAUGGUGAUCAUAUACCCGUUUCAUCCUCGUAUGAAGAUCGAUGUUUGCCUAGGCAUAAUCGUUGGUAUCUGGAUAGUGAGUUUGCUGGUCACGUUGCCGUACGGGCUUUACAUGCAUCUCGAGGAACCGUACGCUUAUUGCGAGGAACAUUGGCCGACCGAACGGUUUCGUAAAAUCUUUAGCUCUCUCACCUCGAUACUUCAAUUCGUCUUACCUUUCUUCGUGAUUGCGUUUUGCUAUAUUCGCGUUUCGAUCAAGUUGAACGAUCGAGCUAAAUCCAAGCCGGGCACCAACAGCAACAACAAGAGAGAGGAGGUCGAGAGAGAGAGAAAGAAGCGAACGAACCGGAUGUUGAUAGCUAUGGUCACUAUAUUUGGCAUUUCUUGGCUACCUUUGAACAUCGUCAACGUCGUCGACGACUUUUACACACCUGCCAACGAUUGGUCUUAUUACAGACUUUGCUUUUUCAUGACGCACUGCCUCGCCAUGAGCAGCACCUGUUACAACCCAUUCCUUUACGCUUGGCUCAACGAUAACUUCCGCAAAGAAUUUAAGCAAGUACUUCCGUGUUUCCCGAGAACGGUUAAUGGUCACGUUCCAAGAAUCCAAGAACGAUUCCGAAACGAUAAUGCAUGCAACGGUAAUAAUACCCUUCAACGAUCAUUGCUACCGAGUCAUGCUCGAACCAAAACAUCCAAUCCAGAAGUAUGUGAACUGAUCGUUCUCGAAGCGACGAUCACCAAUGCGUGCCAAGAGCCCUCGAACACGGAAUUCUAUGACUCGAUGCAACUUCAUUCUGAGUAAGAAGACAACAGAGGCACAGACAAAAGUCAACUUUCUUCUUCUAAUUCUAACAAGAAUAGAAGAAACUACAUUUUCCGUCGAGAGAGGAAAACCUUGGUGGUAACAGUGCACCUAUUGCACCAGCUUUUCCACUAAUUUUUCCAACGAAAAUAACAGUCGUCGUUGGCGUUCGAAAACGCAUACGUACUUAGGUACAUGCGGCACAAACUGUUAUGAGAAAAAAUUACACAAAUACUUUCGUCUACCUUUUUUUUUUAUUUUUUCAUUCAAAGUCCUGAACCUGAAAAUAGCCGUAAAUUUGAUCCAAGAGAUAAAUAUCGGAUUGGAAAUUCACAUAGCCAGAAAAGAAUAACGAUACGGCGAUCGGUAGGUAAUUGAGCGAUUCGAAAAUCAUACAGUUCGUAUGCUCACCUUUCCUUUCCCUCGAUUCCUACUUUCGGACUUGUCCGAAAUACAGAGAAUGGCAAGGGGAAUGGGAGGAGAAAUGUUACAAAAAUCUGAUUCUCCAUUCCUCCCCGUUACACUAUCCUUCCUCUUCGGUCCGAAUACGGUCCGGAUACUCGAGUAUGGGAUACGAUCGGGAGGAUCGAAACAAACGAAACAACUUCGAACAAAAGGAACAAAAUUUCUUUACUAAAUUUUUAACGAAUAACAUUAUUCGAUAAUGUUACUGGUUUUCUUUUUUCCUUCCAUUUUUCCAUCAAAUUUCCUGCGAAAAAUAAAUGUAAUCGAAUCUAAAAACAUU